rnacentral:misc_RNA from 1 species
GUUGUUACUGAGUUGUUGCGACUAGGUAGCCAUGUAUACAGUUUAUUUCGGUUCUGAUGUUGAUCUGAAAAGAACGGAUAUAACGGCUUUCUGUUUGGAUUGCCUUUGCCCUAAACGCAUAUUCUUUAGUCGGAAUUUGUAGCUUUGAACAAUGGAAACCAGCCCGCUCUCUGUUCUGCACGAAGUCCCCGAGCAUCUUGAAAAAGCUGACCCAAUUCCUGCAGUCUCCGAGCAAGCAGUCGAACUCGAAAGUUCAACAUCGAAAGGAAAUUUGAAGACCAACGAAUUGAAAUUCAAAAACGACCAAGAAGAACCUGAAGCCAACAAUUCGUCGGAAAAUUCCGAGUUUACGGAUAGCUGGGAAUUAACAGAGUCUGUGAGUCCCUCGGAAGGGUCCCGGCAGCAGAGAUCUUCCGGAUCAAGUUUAUUUUCGAACUCCUCGGAAACCAGUCAAACUGGUUCUCCAGAGAUGCCCAAAAAAUACGAUAAACCCGUUCAUGUGGUGUCCAAGUGCGAGGAGAUUUUUUGUUUGAUCUGCGAAAACAAUCUGAAAAUCUGUGGUUCUUCGUAUACAAAUAUUUUUAAGGGGCAGAAAAGGGGAAGCACCACGCUUCCCGAAAGGAUAUCUUCGUUUAUCGGAGCAGCUGAAGACUUGAAGCUUUGCGAUGUGGGAAGUUCCUACAUGUGCGCACAAUGCCAGCGGAAUCUACAAAAGGCAGAAUUACUGGAGAAACAAGUCAACCAAAUUCGGGACACUUUUACCAAUUCUUUCUCCAAUUUGAGUAGGAACAGUCGCAUGAAAAAACGGCGGAUCACAUUGAACAACCAACAACAGAGUUCGGUGGAGGUGAAACAAUUACAAAUACGGAUCAAGGAGUUGGAGCAGGAACGCCAUGCGUUGCGUUUGAGGCUGGAAUCCUUAGAGGCUGAGUAUGAAAACACCGUGAAGGAACUGCAGGACGAUGUCAACCAGCUGCGACAGGACUUGCAAGGGCAGCAGCAACAGCUGACGGCAGGGGACAAGGACAAGGUGAAUAUCAUACGGGAGCUGACGCAACAGAACGAACGGCUGAGCGACCAAGUGCAACAUGCUGCUGAAAUGGAAGGACAACUUGUUUCAGAAGUGGAGGGAUUACGAUCACAAGUCUCCUUACGGAUGUCAAUGCCUGACCAACUCGAUCAGUUGGAUGCACUGCAUGCCAAGAUAAAUGAACUGACGGAGAAGAAGUGUGAAAUCGAAAGAAAGAUCCAUGUAUUAACGGAAGAAAGGGAUUCGUACGCCUGUAGCUUGGAAGAAUCUCAAGAGAGAAUUUUGAUGCUAGAGAAGCAGAAACUAGAACAAGAAUUACAUAUCCGUAACCAAGGUCGAGAAAUCUACGAACUUCAGGAGGUGAACCACCAACUCCAGGCCCAGAUCGAAAAUUUGUCUCAACGAACAUCAUACGGCAACACAGGUCCACCUAGUCAAACCCUCUUCAAUGAACUGUCGGGUCUUUCGGUCGACAGUGACAAAGAACCAGCUGUCCUAUCGGUGCAGUCGGAAGCAUUGACCAGUCUGACCCCACAAUCAAUGAUGAUGAUGAAUAUGACAUUCGAAGACGACAUUGAGUGUGAUGACGAAUGUUCCCCGAUUCCUCUGGCAAAUUCCACAAUGGCAACACAUUUUAAUCAGAUCGGAACACACCACAACCUUUCCGAGGAGUUUCUAAAUGAGAUUGUCGAAGUGUACAACCUCCUCUGUAAAUUAUGUGCUAAACUUCGGACACAGAACCAGGCCAAAGCCAUCAGCGAUGGCAGUGACGUGGAUUAUGUUGGCCCAGUCGAAGAGACUUGUAAUUCUAUCAGUGACAUCAAAUCUGGCCAGCUACGAUCGCUCCUGCGUGAACUACAACAACUCAUUCACAAUCAGAUAUACUCAGCCAAACAUAAAGAAACUUGGAACCGGUUAUCUCUGAAUGGAGAUAUUAGAAAAAUGAUAAAAUUUUUUGAUAUAAUGGAUGGGAGCAAAGCUGCUGAUGGUGAAUCGCGGGACGCAGAUGAAGUUAGAAAAGUCACGUUAAUGGCUGAACAGAUCCACGAUUUACACGUUGAACUGAACGGUGUUCGGACACACGUUUCUGGCUUGCACGCCGAUUUGCAGUUGCGGGACCAGCAGCUGCAGCAAAAAGCCACAGAAGUUUCCGAACGUAACGCUAAGAUUGAUAACCAACAAGAAGAGCUGUUCCAACUCCGUGCACAUUGUGAUAGCUUAGAAGACAAAGCCUUGGGUGAACUCUCAAAGGACGAAGUCCUAGAGCAAGCGAGACGAGACAGAAACGAGGCCAUGGAGAUGAAAAUUCAAAUGGAGAAGGAACUGUACCAAGCCAAGUCUGAAAUAAUGAGUCUAAACAACCAGCUAAUGGCCGCCAUUCAUCAGAAAGUGAUGGUUUCUCAACAGAGAGAUCAGUGGCAGGUGAGACGAUAAAUAAAUGGUGUUCCACGAUUAACUUUAACGACCCUUUCUAGCUGAGCACUAACGAAGAUAAUGAUAUGGAGGAUCUGAUAGACAUUCAGAUGCGCAAGAGACUAAUUCAAGAGAAUCGAAAUGAAUUGGCAGAAGAACGGAUCAAGGAAAGCAAAGUGAAAAGAACUUCUUCCUUCUUUUCUCGAGUGAAACACUGAAC